GGAAAGGUGAAAAGCACCCCGACGAGGGGAGUGAAACAGUACCUGAAACCGAACGCCUACAAUCAGUUGGAGGGCCCUUGCGGCCUGACAGCGUACCUUUUGUAUAAUGGGUCAUCGACUUGGUCUCACGAGCAAGCUUAAGCCGUUAGGUGUAGGCGCAGCGAAAGCGAGUCUUAAUAGGGCGUUGAGUUCGUGGGAUCAGACCCGAAACCGAGUGAUCUAGGCAUGACCAGGAUGAAGGUAAGGUAACACUUACUGGAGGUCCGAACCCACACCUGUUGAAAAAGGUCGGGAUGAGUUGUGCCUAGGGGUGAAAGGCCAAUCAAACUCGGAGAUAGCUGGUUCUCUGCGAAAUCUAUUUAGGUAGAGCGUCAUCCGAAUACCCUCGGGGGUAGAGCACUGGAUGGGUAAUGGGGC
rnacentral:rRNA from 1 species